GACGAACGCUGGCGGCGUGCUUAACACAUGCAAGUCGAACGAAAAGAGGGAAAGAGCUUGCUCUUUCCGGAAUUGAGUGGCAAACGGGUGAGUAACACGUAAACAACCUGCCUUCAGGAUGGGGACAACAGACGGAAACGACUGCUAAUACCGAAUAAGUUCCAAGAGCCGCAUGGCCCAUGGAAGAAAAGGUGGCCUCUACCUGUAAGCUAUCGCCUGAAGAGGGGUUUGCGUCUGAUUAGCUGGUUGGAGGGGUAACGGCCCACCAAGGCGACGAUCAGUAGCCGGUCUGAGAGGAUGAACGGCCACACUGGAACUGAGACACGGUCCAGACUCCUACGGGAGGCAGCAGUGGGGAAUCUUCCGCAAUGGGCGAAAGCCUGACGGAGCAACGCCGCGUGAGGGAUGACGGCCUUCGGGUUGUAAAACUCUGUGAUCCGGGACGAAAAGGCAGAGUGCGAAGAACAAACUGCAUUGACGGUACCGGAAAAGCAAGCCACGGCUAACUACGUG
rnacentral:rRNA from 1 species